rnacentral:rRNA from 1 species
GGAGUAACACGUGGGCAACCUACCUUAUAGUUUGGGAUAACUCCGGGAAACCGGGGCUAAUACCAAAUAAUCUCUUUUACUUCAUGGUGAAAGACUGAAAGACGGCAUCUCGCUGUCGCUAUAGGAUGGGCCCGCGGCGCAUUAGCUAGUUGGUGAGGUAACGGCUCACCAAGGCAACGAUGCGUACCCAACCUGAGAGGGUGAUCGGCCACACUGGGACUGAAACACGGCCCAAACUCCUACGGGAGGCAGCAGUAGGGAAUCUUCCACAAUGGGCGAAAGCCUGAUGGAGCAACGCCGCGUGAGUGAAGAAGGAUUUCGGUUCGUAAAACUCUGUUGUAAGGGAAGAACAAGUACAGUAGUAACUGGCUGUACCUUGACGGUACCUUAUUAGAAAGCCACGGCUAACUACGUGCCAGCAGCCGCGGUAAUACGUAGGUGGCAAGCGUUGUCCGGAAUUAUUGGGCGUAAAGCGCGCGCAGGUGGUUUCUUAAGUCUGAUGUGAAAGCCCACGGCUCAACCGUGGAGGGUCAUUGGAAACUGGGGAACUUGAGUGCAGAAGAGGAUAGUGGAAUUCCAAGUGUAGCGGUGAAAUGCGUAGAGAUUUGGAGGAACACCAGUGGCGAAGGCGACUAUCUGGUCUGUAACUGACACUGAGGCGCGAAAGCGUGGGGAGCAAACAGGAUUAGAUACCCUGGUAGUCCACGCCGUAAACGAUGAGUGCUAAGUGUUAGGGGGUUUCCGCCCCUUAGUGCUGCAGCUAACGCAUUAAGCACUCCGCCUGGGGAGUACGGUCGCAAGACUGAAACUCAAAGGAAUUGACGGGGGCCCGCACAAGCGGUGGAGCAUGUGGUUUAAUUCGAAGCAACGCGAAGAACCUUACCAGGUCUUGACAUCCCAUUGACCACUGUAGAGAUACAGUUUUCCCUUCGGGGACAACGGUGACAGGUGGUGCAUGGUUGUCGUCAGCUCGUGUCGUGAGAUGUUGGGUUAAGUCCCGCAACGAGCGCAACCCUUGAUCUUAGUUGCCAUCAUUUAGUUGGGCACUCUAAGGUGACUGCCGGUGACAAACCGGAGGAAGGUGGGGAUGACGUCAAAUCAUCAUGCCCCUUAUGACCUGGGCUACACACGUGCUACAAUGGACGAUACAAACGGUUGCCAACUCGCGAGAGGGAGCUAAUCCGAUAAAGUCGUUCUCAGUUCGGAUUGUAGGCUGCAACUCGCCUACAUGAAGCCGGAAUCGCU